CGGCCAGACUCCUACGGGAGGCAGCAGUGGGGGAUAUUGCACAAUGGGGGGAACCCUGAUGCAGCGACGCCGCGUGGGUGAAGAAGCGCCUCGGCGCGUAAAGCCCUGUCAGCAGGGAAGAAAAUGACGGUACCUGAUUAAGAAGCCCCGACUAACUACGUGCCAGCAGCCGCGGUAAUACGUAGGGGGCAAGCGUUAUCCGGAUUUACUGGGUGUAAAGGGAGCGUAGACGGCAGCGCAAGUCUGGAGUGAAAUGCCGGGGCCCAACCCCGGAACUGCUUUGGAAACUGUGCAGCUCGAGUGCAGGAGAGGUAAGCGGAAUUCCUAGUGUAGCGGUGAAAUGCGUAGAUAUUAGGAGGAACACCAGUGGCGAAGGCGGCCUACUGGACGGUGACUGACGCUGAGGCUCGAAAGCGUGGGGAGCAAACAGGAUUAGAUACCCCCGUAU
rnacentral:rRNA from 1 species